GUUGGGACUACACAUGUGCCAUCACACUCAGCUUUUGUCUGUGAUCCAUGUGGAAACCAUUCUUCUGUGUAUAGUGUAAGGGAAACCACCUUUGCUUUGACAUAUGUGUGUAAACGGUAUUGUCUGUCGAACGUUGCCUCGUGAGUCAUAAAAAGAAACAUCCCAGCCUCUUUGUUAAGAGAAGUGCUGUCAAGUAAGUAGUAGAGUUAUAUGAGUGAGACAGAAAAUAAAAUUCCACCUCCAACAACCUCUGAAAUGGGAGGUGGGUCAUUCAGACACCAUUUCUUCAUGAACUGCUGCCCUGUUCCUCUACCCAGUCCACAGAGGAAAGGCAAUAGCAGGGCAUUUCCUUGUGUCCUUCAAGCUCUCCCUGGCUCUCCUGUGCACGUGAAAAGACACCCACAGAAGCUCAGGGGUGACUGCAGCCCAUACUCUGUAGCCCUCUACCUGGGCCAGCUGCCCCGGACAAUUGCACCUGAUAGCUUUUCCAGAGCAGAGCAGCCAGAGAGGUGACAAAGAAUGAAAGCACUGAAAAAUGUCAACCUGGGAAGCAAAUGUGAAACCCAUUUCCAAACAGGGAAGGCAAGGAGAAAAGCAAGUCACAUCAGAACAGAGAUGGGGGAGAAACCCCUCUGAGUCUUAAAAGAGAAGGGUUGCAAUUAAGAUGGAAUUAGGAAGUAGAAAAAGAAGCAGAAUGCAAGAUUUAAGCCCAUUUCAAAGCUUUUCAGAAACCAGACUCAAGGCAGCUUUAAAGCAUUCUGAAUUUUUAAAAUCAGAACACAUAUUCGUAUCAUUACUUCAAAAAGCAAAGACACAACAGUGAAAAACCUUUUAUUGCUCUUGGAAGUAAAAUCUAAUAGCCUUCAUCUAUUUGGAGCAUGAGGUGGAAAGGAAAGUGGUAAAAGGGUAAAAAUCAAGUGUUCUAGAGUUAGGGUUAGUUUUCUUUUUUCAAGCUCUAGUUCACACUCAUCUUGAAUUUUCUGAAGCCUGUAGUUAUGAUCCCAUUGUGAACAUAUACAACAAAAAAUGUCAAAUAAAACAUUAUUACAACUUUCAAUAUAAGACAGCAGAGAGUAAACAGUGCCUGAUUUUCUCUCUUCCAGACUAUUUACAUUCUUACGAACAGACACAAGUCUACACAAAAUGACAAGCGCACAUUUCGGUGGCAACAGAUCAGCUGCUUCAGAAAUUUAUCUGGCUUGGGGAAGAGAUAUUAUUAACAAAAGCAAAUAUGGAACCACUCUGAGGAAUUACCAGCAGCUGAUGUAAAUUUUCACCUCAGAAACAGACCAGGUCCAGGGAGAAAAAAACUAGAGAGGUUUUGAUUCUCCUCCCACCGUCUGCCUUUCUUUUCCAAAGAAUAGAGAGCCUGCCCCAACUGGAAAAUCAGGUAGCUUCUCCCACACAGGAAGGGAUCUGCUGCCUGAGGCAGAAAGGGCUGCUUGGGUGCCUCUGUCCCCAGUGCCCCUUCAUUUCUGUCUUCCUACAUCCUCUUGAGAUUACAUGUUGAUUACAUUAUAUUCUAUUGUAUCGUACUACAUAAUACAGCAACACUGAAAGAAUGAAAGGAAACGGGAAAGGGAGUGAAUUGGCCUUUGCACCCUGAGGAUAGGAAGAGGGUGGUGGAUACUGGGACAGCCUGGUGGACCCAGCCCUCCCAGGGUUAUUAGAUGACAUUUGUCACGUACCAUUCCUGGCAGCAGCGGCAGGUCAGGGUGACCAGGAUCACCUAGGAAUGCAUGUACUUCUGACAGUCAUGAAACCAAGGCAUGAGAGCAAGAGAUAGUUUUGGGGUCUGGUAUCCAAAAAUUCAAAUUAGUAAAUUUCAUGUUAUGUGUAUUUUAUCACAAUUAAAAAAAAAAACUCAAACUUUAAACAUUCAGAGAUUUGUUUAAGGGGUAUAUGGCUCUGGUAUCCAUAAUGCUGUAAAAAGGGAAAUCUUUUAGUCCCUGAGGUGGACAGCAGCAAGUCCUAAGUCCUCCAAUCUGAUAAGCAUAGUGGGACAGAGGACUCCUCACUUGAGGACAUCUAGGUCGAAAACAAACAAAAAAAAUCACAAAACUUAUGAAAAUAUUCUAUAAUGUAGGAGGAGGCUAUUGCUCUUAAAAUGCAGAGAAAAAUCAUACUUUUGAAAAACAGUUAACUACAAGAAACAGGAAAUCUUUAGAAAACAUUCCCUUGGUGGACUCAAUGAAAUAUAAGAAAACACAAAAUAACAAAUGGAAAGUGAGAUGUAAAAGGCUACUUAAAUGCUUUCUGAGAUGUAAACUGAUACAGUAAGGUUCAGGCUGAGAGAAGAAAAUAAUUGUAAAGAAUAAAAAUGUAACCAAUUUACUGUUUUUGAUAGAGCACAACAGAGAAGUGACACUUCGGAAAAGUAAUUCAGUAACAUGGAAGACAAAUUUGAGAAGCCAUCCCAGAAAGCAGAGGAAAAAGACAAAGCCAAAAUCUGAAAGAGAAAUAAAGUUAUUAACUUGGGGAGGGGAUGGUGAAGAAAAGGCAGAAUAAGAACUAUGCGAGACAGAAAACAAAGAUUCACUUCACAAAAUAGAGGAAAAAUGUCUACAAAGCUUUAAGAAUAAAAAGAAAAAAAGG
rnacentral:lncRNA from 1 species